rnacentral:rRNA from 1 species
AUUGAACGCUGGCGGCGUGCCUAAUACAUGCAAGUAGAACGCAGUUGCGAACGGGUGAGUAACGCGUAGGUAACUGCCUGGUAGCGGGGGAUAACUAUUGGAAACGAUAGCUAAUACCGCAUACUACCAGAUGGACCUGCGUUGUAAUAGGUAGUUGGGGGGGUAACGGCUCAACAAGGCAUCGAUACAUAGCCGACCUGAGAGGGUGAUCGGCCCCACUGGGACUGAGACACGGCCCAAACUCCUACGGGAAGCAGCAGUAGGGGAUCUUCGGCAAUGGGCGGAAGUCUGACCGAACAACGCCGCGUGAGUGAAGAAGGUUUUCGGAUCGUAAAGCUCUGUUGUAAGAGAAGCGGUAUCUUACCAGAAAGGGACGGCUAACUACGUGCCAGCCGCCGCGGUAAUAC